UUUAUUUCGUCUUCUCUCCAAAACAAAAAAAACCCUAGCCGCUCAAGAUUAUCUCAACCCUAACCGUCCAUCAUCUUUCUCUCUUCACUCACCAAUUCGAUGAACUCCUCUCGCACUGGCCUUUUUUUUGCUGUCUACUGUUUCCGUCUUUGUCUCGGCGAUCAUCUGCUGCCGGUUUUGUUGCUGGAAUAGUCUUCUGCUUCUACGAAUGUCUUUGGUUCGAAACCCUUAGUUGGCUACAAGUUUUUGCCGUUUUCGAUUUCAUCGAAAUUCAUUUUUUUCCUCGCGUGAUCACGCGAUUAAAUUAAGCAUUAGUUGGUUCGAAACCCUUAGGAAACGAUGCUCGCGAGGAAUCACCGCCACCAACGGAACCUGUAGACUUGGACUAUCAGAUUCUCACUCAACCCGAGUGGUGCCGGUGCUGAGAAGCUCACCGAGAGCAGGCCCCGUACCGCCGCUGCCAUCUCCACUGUUUGGGGAAAAUCCAUCGGAGAAGAUAAGGACUCCAUCUUCUCCAAAUUAUCACUGUUGAUUUAAUAUUCUAUUACUGUAUCUUUAAUAAUUCCUGACCACUACAUUCAUUACUUAAAUGUUAUAAGUGUAAUAUAUAUACCCACUAUCUUUAUUACUGUAUCUUUAUUAUUAUGUUGACCUAAAACAUCCCUCUCCCCAACGUGUUGGGCCGACCAUGAGAUGGGGUUGCAUUCGGUGGGAUCGACGGCUGUGUGGGAUUUGGUGAGGGAUGAGUUACGAGAGAGAGUAAGGGAGAUAGGCGUGGGAUGGCAGGGAGGGGAAGGGAGAGGGAGGAUGAGGCUGCCAAAAGGGGGUUAGGGUUGAUUUUUUUCCCUUCGAACGACUUGCUUUAGGAAUAUGUAAUACUACCAAUCAUUGCAGUUCUUAUCCUUUAAAUUUUGCAUUUUUUAAAAAUAUUUAUUAAUUUUUUGGUGAUGCAGAUGGAUGAACAUGUUCGAAGGGAAAUCAUGAACCAUAGAUCACCGAAGCAUCCGAAUAUCAUUCGAUCCAAAGAGAUGCAGAUGGAUGAACGUGUUCAAAGGGAAAUCAUAAACCAUAAAUCACUGAAGAAUCCGAAUAUCAUUCGAUUCAAAGAGUUACUUUUCAGCAUCCGACAACACUGAUAUAGCAUUUGAUGUACACUUAACUUUUGAAACCCAAUCGGAAUUAUGUUCCGGUCAAUAUUGAGGAUCCAGUGAGCUCAGGGACACAGAUUGGUUAGUUCAUCCAUGAUGCUGAGCCCUAUCUUGAAUGGUAUCUUGGCCGCCGCGUUUUAGAUGCUUAGGUCUGUGAUUGAAGUGUUAUUUGUAGUUUUUUUUUUUUUUUUUUUUUUUUUCCAGAAUUCAUAAUUCAUAAUAUUUGCAACUAUAAAAAACAAUAUACUUGUAUACCUCUGUUUCUCUUUUCUUUGUUUUCAUGAGAAAUUAAUUGUCAUUGGCAGCACUAUAAAAAACCAUCUUUCUGCAUUAUUCUCUGCUUCAUACAUAAUUACAUGAUUUUAGGUUUAAUAUCUAGCUUUUUAGUAGUAGAUUACUUAUAUGGGUCUUUAACUACAAUAUCAAAUUUCUUACUUUUUUCAUGUUUUUACUUUUGACUUGCUGAUAUCUAUUUUAGAAUGUGGAAUUAUAUCUAAUAUUUGUUUAUUUCCUGACUGUCUUAAUGCCUCACUGUCUGUAGAUUUUAAAUUUUGGUAAGAACCAUGAAAAUGAUUGAAAAGCAUGAUGUUGUUUUCGAAAUAUAUAUUAGCAUCCCCUUCUCACCCAACUGCCAAAAUCAGGUGGCUUGACUUGAGGUGUUUUCAGAUAUUGUAAUUGAAUGAACAAUUAGGUUACACUUUAACAAAAAUGUGUAAAAAGGGUUUAUAACUGCAUUUUUAAGAGAGAAGUACUAUUUUGUCCAACCCUUUUGAGUUCCCAUAUAUUUUCAUUGUUUCAUUUAUACAUCUGUUGGAGGAUUGGAGGGGAUUGGGAGGCAGAUGAGUGAGACUUCUGAUGGUUACACAGAAAUAAAUGGUCUCUCACAUCUUGAACCAGAUUAUUGUUGGUUUGGCAGGUAUGAAUGAUUCUAGCCUUUUUUUAGAGGAACUAUGCUUUCCAUUUCAAUCAGAAUAUUCUGUUAUUAGAAGCAAUUACAUGGAGUUUGGCCAACUAAAAUGGCUGGACAGAAAAAAUGGUCCUAAUUGUUCACUCUCUAAUGAUGUUGGCAAGUAACGUUGAUUGUUCUAAACGCUGGCGGUGCUUCUGUUUUCCACAAUGUAAGCCAAAGAUUAUGCGAUGGUGCUCAAUUUGGAUUUGUUGCAUAGCUAGAAGGAUGAUCUUGCAGUAAUUGUUGAAGACCGUUAUAUGCCAAGCACCGUAGAUUUUUUCAACGAGCUUCCUCAGUUUGUUGUCAAGGCUGGUUCAAUUUUAAGUAAUAUUUAUGGUGUAGUUGGGAAAACAAACUUGAGGUGCUAGGCCUACAGGUCAUAUAUUUUGCUACCUUAACUGCAAGGGUUGACAGCAUAAAGGUGAAGCUGAUUGAGAAGUUGGAACAACCUGUUGCUGGCUUUCUAGUGGCACGGUUCCUGCGACUGCACACGAAGUAUACAUCUUAAGAUUUCUGGGGAGUGAUUAUUCACACCAUUAAAGAUACUAGAACAAAGUGUAAGAGAAAGUUGGAACACCCUUGUGCUUCAUGGUUGCUCUCUGCUUUGUUACAUAUACCCUCCCUCUUUCUCUUUUAUGUCUAUAACUCAUAACUGCGCUGAUGAAGACUAACUUAUUUGCACUCAGUUUAGACUUCUGUUGGUGAGUUUGCGGAGGCUGUCCUUGCUUAUCGGGUAAUAUUUCCUGAUUCGGAUACGCAACUAACCAAGCUUGCACAAGACCUGGUUACCUGGUAGGGGAGUUUGUUAAUUUAAAACACUUUGUUGUACGGUAGCAGUUUGCUCACGAAAUGUAAUUAAUUGCUGUUUGUUUAAGCACUUGGAAAA